rnacentral:rRNA from 1 species
AGAGAGAGACAUGCGCGCAUAUCAAUAAGCGGAGGAAAAGAAACUAACAAGGAUUCCCUUAGUAACGGCGAGUGAAGCGGGAAGAGCUCAAAUUUGAAAUCUUCAAGGUUCUACCUUGACGAAUUGUAGCUUAUAGAAGUGUUUUCUGUUAGUGGAGUGGCAAAAGUUCUUUGGAAUAGGACAUCAUAGAGGGUGAGAAUCCCGUAUUUGGUCAUUCCUCCUAGCGUUGUGAUACACUUUCAACGAGUCGGAUUGUUUGGGAAUGCAGUCCAAAAUGGGUGGUAAAUUUCAUCUAAAGCUAAAUAUUGGCGAGAGACCGAUAGCGAACAAGUACCGUGAGGGAAAGAUGAAAAGAACUUUGAAAAGAGAGUUAAACAGUACGUGAAAUUGUCAAAAGGGAAGCGUUUGACACCAGUGUUGUUUUUCCGAAAAUCAAUUACGAAUGUUUUAUUUUUGAGGAGUUAUGACUUCAUCGGCUUGCUCCUUUCUUUAUGAAACUUUCUUAAUGCACUUUUCGGUUAACAAGUCAACAUCAAUUUCUUUUGUUGUAAAAGGGUAUGAGGAAGGUGGCUUUCUUUUCGGAGAAAGUGUUUAUAGCCUUGUGCCUCUGCAAUCGGAGAGAUUGAGGUCUGCAGCGUAGAUCCUUCGGGGUUAGAUACGUUUGUGCUAAGUUAUAGCUUUUCAUAGACAACUUGUUGACUAUGUUUAGUCUUGUAGCUUACUCGCUGACGCUAUUUUACCUACGCUUAGGAUGUUGAUAGUCACAGCGUGUAC